rnacentral:misc_RNA from 1 species
AAUUCUCAAAACCCUUUCUUUUCUUUGAUCAGGAUAGGGCUUUUGGACUUGGAGGUUCGAUGCCCGCUUUCGCCUUUGAAAGUGAGCUCCUCCCAAACGAAUUAGUGGGGUCCGCUUUGCUGAUCCUUGACGUGAUAAAACAUUUCUACGUUUUGGACCCGGCACUGUUCUUUUGGACAUCUGCUCCUAACCGUCUCAUGGACAAUGAUGGUGCUCCGGUCUUUGCCACCCAUGUUUGGCAGGAGGCUGGACCCACAAUAAAAC